rnacentral:rRNA from 1 species
GUAGUCCACGCCGUAAACGUUGGGCGCUAGAUGUAGGGACCUUUCCACGGUUUCUGUGUCGUAGCUAACGCAUUAAGCGCCCCGCCUGGGGAGUACGGCCGCAAGGCUAAAACUCAAAGGAAUUGACGGGGGCCCGCACAAGCGGCGGAGCAUGCGGAUUAAUUCGAUGCAACGCGAAGAACCUUACCAAGGCUUGACAUACACCGGAAACGGCCAGAGAUGGUCGCCCCCUUGUGGUCGGUGUACAGGUGGUGCAUGGUUGUCGUCAGCUCGUGUCGUGAGAUGUUGGGUUAAGUCCCGCAACGAGCGCAACCCUCGUUCUAUGUUGCCAGCGCGUUAUGGCGGGGACUCAUAGGAGACUGCCGGGGUCAACUCGGA